rnacentral:rRNA from 1 species
AUACGUAGGGAGCGAGCGUUGUCCGGAAUUACUGGUUGUAAAGGGAGCGUAGGCGGGACUGCAAGUCAGAUGUGAAAUACCUGGGCUUAACCCCGGAGCUGCAUUUGAACCUGUGGUUUUUGAGUGAAGUAGAGGCUAGCGGAAUUCCUGGUGUAGCGGUGAAAUGCGUAGAUAUCAGGAGGAACACCGGUGGCGAAGGCGGCUUGCUGGGCUUUUACUGACGCUGAGGCUCGAAAGCGUGGGUAGCAAACAGGAUUAGAUACCCUGGUAGUCCACGCUGUAAACGAUGAUUACUAGGUGUGGGGGGACUGACCCCUUCCGUGCCGCAGUUAACACAAUAAGUAAUCCACCUGGGGAGUACGGCCGCAAGGUUGAAACUCAAAUGAAUUGGCGGGG